CAGUGAAGUUUGGACUCCCGGCUGCCAAGUCAUUGAAGGUCUGAGACUCCUCCUUCAUCUGCAGAAUGGGGACAACUGUGAAACUGCCAUACAACUCCUUUGCUUCCAUCCCACUGUCUGGAAGUUAGCCCCACUCCACAUCUACCUCCUGAGAUGCUAGGAAUAUAGCCUCUACUUCAGAUAUCCAACCAAAGACUGGAGGUUUUAUCCCUGAAGAGGAGGGAGAGAACAGAUACUAAGCCUACGUCCUCCCACCAGAGUCUCCCCACUGGCUCUGGGCAGAGCUGUUUCCUCACCAACUUAGAAGUUCCUACUGCCUGAGAAGCUGAUGUUUGUGUAGCCUGCAAGAGUGAUGUGGAGAGGGACACAUCC